AGUCGACGGGAUUAAGUUUGUAGUAAUACAAGUUUAGUCUAGUGGCGAACGGGUGCGUAACACGUGAGUAAUCUGCCGAAAAGUGGGGGAUAGCUCGCCGAAAGGCGAAUUAAUACCGCAUAAGACAAGAGGGGGUAUCCCUUCGAAGUUAAAGUCGCAAGACGCUUUUUGAUGAACUCGCGGCCUAUCAGCUUGUUGGUGAGGUAACGGCUCACCAAGGCUAUGACGGGUAGCUGGUCUGAGAGGACGACCAGCCACACUGGAACUGAGACACGGUCCAGACACCUACGGGUGGCAGCAGUCGAGAAUUUUUCACAAUGGGGGAAACCCUGAUGGAGCGACGCCGCGUGGAGGAUGAAUGUCUUCGGAUUGUAAACUCCUGUCAUGCGAGAACAAGAAAGUGAUAGUAUCGCAAGAGGAAGAGACGGCUAACUCUGUGCCAGCAGCCGCGGUAAUACAGAGGUCUCAAGCGUUGUUCGGAUUUAUUGGGCGUAAAGGGUGCGUAGGUGGCGUGGAAAGUUGAGUGUGAAAUCCUGAGGCUUAACCUCAGAACUGCAUUCAAAACUCCCAUGCUAGAGGAAUGUAGAGGAGAGUGGAAUUCACGGUGUAGCAGUGAAAUGCGUAGAUAUCGUGAGGAAGACCAGUUGCGAAGGCGACUCUCUGGGCAUUUCCUGACACUGAGGCACGAAGGCUAGGGGAGCAAACGGGAUUAGAUACCCCGGUAGUCCUAGCAGUAAACGGUGCACGUUUGGUGUGGGCGGGCUCAGACCCCGUCCGUGCCGGAGCUAACGCGUUAAACGUGCCGCCUGGGAAGUACGG
rnacentral:rRNA from 1 species